AUCUAAAUAGCUCAAAUGAGUAGCGUAGUGUUGAAGUUACUAAGGUUGUAUUUUUACAUUUGGAUA
rnacentral:tRNA from 1 species